UACGGAGGGAGCAAGCGUUGCUCGGAUUUACUGGGCGUAAAGGGCGCGUAGGCGGCCAGCACAAGUCAGUUGUGAAAUCUCCGAGCUUAACUCGGAAAGGUCAACUGAUACUGUGCGGCUAGAGUGCGGAAGGGGCAACUGGAAUUCUUGGUGUAGCGGUGAAAUGCGUAGAUAUCAAGAGGAACACCUGCGGCGAAGGCGGGUUGCUGGGCCGACACUGACGCUGAGGCGCGAAAGCCAGGGGAGCGAACGGG
rnacentral:rRNA from 1 species